rnacentral:rRNA from 1 species
GAGUUUGAUCCUGGCUCAGGAUGAACGCUGGCGGCGUGCUUAACACAUGCAAGUCGAGCGAAGCACUUGAACCUGAUUCUUCGGAUGAAAGUUCAUUUGACUGAGCGGCGGACGGGUGAGUAACGCGUGAGUAACCUGCCUCAUACAGGGGGAUAACAGUUAGAAAUGACUGCUAAUACCGCAUAAGACCACAGUACCGCAUGGUACAGGGGUAAAACUCCGGUGGUAUGAGAUGGACCCCGCGUCUGAUUAGCUGGUUGGUGGGUAACGGCCUACCAAGGCGAUGAUCAGUAGCCGACCUGAGAGGGUGACCGGCCACAUUGGGACUGAGACAC